rnacentral:rRNA from 1 species
GAUCUGGCUCAGGAUGAACGCUAGCUACAGGCUUAACACAUGCAAGUCGAGGGGCAGCAUGGACCCAGCUUUGCUGGGUUUGAUGGCGACCGGCGCACGGGUGAGUAACGCGUAUCCAACCUGCCCUUUACUCCGGGAUAGUCUCCUGAAAGGGAGUUUAAUACCGGAUGUGUUUGUCUUUCCGUCAUGGGAGCGACAAAUAAAGAUUAAUUGGUAAGGGAUGGGGAGUGCGUCCCAUUAGCUUGUUGGCGGGG